rnacentral:rRNA from 1 species
AGUGAACGCUGGCGGUAGGCCUAACACAUGCAAGUCGAACGGCAGCACAGUAAGAGCUUGCUCUUACGGGUGGCGAGUGGCGGACGGGUGAGGAAUACAUCGGAAUCUACUUUUUCGUGGGGGAUAACGUAGGGAAACUUACGCUAAUACCGCAUACGACCUGCGGGUGAAAGCAGGGGAUCUUCGGACCUUGCGCGAUUGAAUGAGCCGAUGUCGGAUUAGCUAGUUGGCGGGGUAAAGGCCCACCAAGGCGACGAUCCGUAGCUGGUCUGAGAGGAUGAUCAGCCACACGGGAACUGAGACACGGUCCAGACUCCUACGGGUGGCAGCAGUGGGGAAUAUUGGACAAUGGGCGCAAGCCUGAUCCAGCCAUACCGCGUGGGUGAAGAAGGCCUUCGGGUUGUAAAGCCCUUUUGUUGGGAAAGAAAAGCAGCAGGUUAAUACCCCGCUGUUCUGUCGGUACCCAAAGAAUAAGCACCGGCUAACUUCGUG